UGGGGAAUAUUGGACAAUGGGCGCAAGCCUGAUCCAGCAAUGCCGCGUGAGUGAGGAAGGCCUUAGGGUUGUAAAGCUCUUUCGCACGCGACGAUGAUGACGGUAGCGUGAGAAGAAGCCCCGGCUAACUUCGUGCCAGCAGCCGCGGUAAUACGAAGGGGGCGAGCGUUGUUCGGAUUUACUGGGCGUAAAGGGCGCGCAGGCGGCAGAUCAAGUCAGACGUGAAAGCCCCGGGCUUAACCUGGGAACUGCGUUUGGGACUGAUUUGCUAGAGAUCGGGAGAGGAGAGUGGAAUUCCCAGUGUAGAGGUGAAAUUCGUAGAUAUUGGGAAGAACACCGGUGGCGAAGGCGGCUCUCUGGACCGAUACUGACGCUGAGGCGCGAAAGCGUGGGGAGCAAACAGGAUUAGAUACCCCCGUAGUCC
rnacentral:rRNA from 1 species